GUCCUGAUAGCUCAGCUGGAUAGAGCAAUGCCCUUCUAAGGCAUCGGUCAAGCGUUCGAAUCGCUUUCAGGACACCA
rnacentral:tRNA from 1 species